GAGAUGGGGGCAGGCCAGGGCAAAGGAGAUGCCAGAAGCAGGGAGUGAAGAGGGAGUUCAGGGCCUCAGGUGAGGGCUCCUUUCCGUGCAGAACGGGCCAAAGAAACACAUCCCAGACUCACUGACCAGGGAGGACCGAGGACACCAGGCCAGGACCCUCUGUCCCUCAUGGAGCCAUUGCCUACAAAUGUAUCCAGGAGACAACAGUGACACACAUGAGAUGUCCUUCAAGUGAAACUGUUCGAGAUUCCCCAGAGGAAAUCUUCACGGAGACCCCAAGAAGCGGCUGGGCCCAGCUUACCUUCAUCCACGUCUCAGGGAGAAAUCUCUCUGAGAGGAUCCCUCCUCGGCUCCAAGCUGCUCCCCAUGGGGGAAUGGGGUGGCAGAGCAGAGUGGCAUCUCUGUUUUCUGCUCUCCACAAGGUUUCUGCGGCUUCUCUGCUGUCUUGGAGCUAUCCCAGCGUGGUUUCCAUGGUGUGUAGUGUCUUUGUGUUGUUUUGUUGUUUUGUGGGUGG
rnacentral:lncRNA from 1 species